AAAUUAAGCAUAUACGUAGGCAGAGGAUGAGAUACACAACUGGAUUGGCACCGUAGUUGCGAAUGAACAGCAAAUUGCUCAAAUUGAAUUUGGGGACACCUGGCCCUCAACAUGAAAUCUCUGAAUGCUCCACCAACAAAGGCUCAGGAACAAAACCAUUCUGGAGGGGAUUGUGAAAGUGCCAACAGGGGUGAGAAUCCUGUGGUUCUUGCAGACCUUGUUCACGGUGUCUGCUUUCCAGAGUCAUGCUCCUUGGAACUGGAGUGCAAAGUGGGUGGUAGCUUCCACACAAAGGCAAACACACCACUGAGACUGACAGUGAAGAAGUACCGUGAGGGAAGUAUGAAAAGGACUUUGGAAAGAGAUUUAAAAGAGCCUGCACUUGCUGGACAACAAGCAUACAGAAUGAUCGUGUGAUUGGACAGAUUGCUGUGUGAAUACAGGUAACAAUCCUGUGCUGCAUGCGGAGAUUCUUUCUUGGUGUGCCAACUAGUGUGAGAGCAGUCAGUAUCUGUGGGCAGUGCUUGGGGUGUGUCUUGUGUCACAUGUGAUUGUAUGUACCUGGUCUGAACAUGUGAAACUGCAUCUACUGGCAAUGAAGAGUUAUGCAUGCAGUUGCUUUCACCAACGGUUCACCUUGUCAACGACAUGGGUGCCUUUCUGUGUGACCCGUCUUGAAACACGGACCAAGGAGUCUAGGCAGUAUGCAAGCUUGGGGGUGACAAACUCUGAGCACAAUGAAGCUGGAGUCCCGGAAAUGGCAGGGGUGUUCAACCAAGCAACAGGACAAGGUUUGAGUCUGAGCACACUUGUUAGGACCCGAAAGAUGGUGAAAUAU
rnacentral:rRNA from 1 species